CACCUUAGAGUAUCAAGGGCACUCUUAAGAACCUCUAACUUUUGCGGGUAAGUUAGUACCUUAGAGUAUCAAGGAACUCUUAAAAACCUCUCUAAGUUUUAAGGCUAUUUCGCUUAGGAACCAGUCUUUUACGGGUAGACUCACACCUUAGAGUAUCAAGACACUCUUAAGAACCUCUAACUUUUACGGGUAAGUUAGUACCUUAGAGUAUCAAUGAACUCUUAAAAACCUCUCUAAGCUUUAAGGCUGCUUCGCUUAGGAACCAGCCUUUUACGGGUAGACUCACACCUUAGAGUAUCAAGGGCACUCUUAAGAACCUCUAACUUUUAUGGGUAAGUUAGUACCUUAGAGUAUUAAGAAACUCUUAAAAACCUCUGAAAUCUUUCAAGGUAGACUCGACCUAAGAGUUUUCCCGGAAACUCUAUAAAACUAAACUAGAGCUUUAUGGCUGAGCUCAAAAACCUUCUCUCACACUUUGGUACUAUUGAGACAACCCUCUCAACCAAAGUGGACACACACAAGAGGUGAUUAGAGGAGUGGAAUAUGAAAGCAAACAACACUUCUUACUUGUAAAGAUGAACAAGAAGAUUAGAAGAAGAAGUUGGAGAGCUUUUGAAGCUUUGGAAAGCUAGGACACUUGAGCACUUGAAUGCUUGGAAGCUUGAAGGCAAAAACGUGUGGGCAAGUGUGGAGUGAAAGCUCUUGAGUUUGCUUGUAGUGUGGUGAGUGAAAAUGAGGGGAUUACCCUUCUAUUUAUAGCCUUGGCCACUUAAUGUCCACCCUUGGAUCUUCAAUGGAUGGCUCCUUGAUUUCUCAUAUAAAUCCAAGCUUUGUCUUUGAUCUUAUCUUGGAUAGUGCUUUUCUUGGAUAGAGUUUGUUGGAGAAUCUUAUCUUUGUAUAAAUUCAAACUUGAAUAGUGUUUUGUCCCCUUGGAAUAUUAUACCUUGAAUAAAGUGUCAAAAGAUAAUAAUAAUAUUCAAGGUAAAAAUGCAAUUAUUCCAAAUAAUAAUAUUCAAGGUGAAAAUGCAAUUAUUCCAAAUAAUAAUAUUCAAGGUGAAAAUGCAAUUCUCCCUAUUUGACUUUUAACUUUGACUUAAACCCUUAACUCAAAUGAUUAAUUAAUUAACUAGAGUUAGGUUUAAUAUCGAUUGACUUAUUUACCCCCUAUUGAUUAAUAGUGUAAUUAGGGUUUAAAUUGACAUGAUUAAAAU
rnacentral:lncRNA from 1 species